AACGGCCGUACCAUGAUGAAUAUACCGGUUCUCGUUAGAUCACCGAAGUCAAGCAUCAUUGGGCGCGGUCAGUACUUGGGAGGGUGACCACCUGGGAACACCGCGUGCCGUU